UCAUCUUUAAUCAACACGAACUUAUUCAUCAUUAAUAUUAUAAUUCAUAAUAUUUAACAACCAGGUUGUUCCCAGGAAAGAGGGGACUUUCCGAUAAAGAUUUUUCCUUAUUGGCGCGCAAUUAGGUGACCAAACCUCUCCUUGACAGAACUUCUAGACAUUGUCAAUAUUGCAAAUAAUAAUAUGAAUAACUUUGCCG
rnacentral:lncRNA from 1 species